UGUACCCGACACUGGAGCGACCUGGC
rnacentral:piRNA from 1 species